UGGGGAAUAUUGGACAAUGGGCGAAAGCCUGAUCCAGCAAUGCCGCGUGAGUGAUGAAGGCCUUAGGGUUGUAAAGCUCUUUUACCCGGGAUGAUAAUGACAGUACCGGGAGAAUAAGCCCCGGCUAACUCCGUGCCAGCAGCCGCGGUAAUACGGGGGGGGCAAGCGUUGUUCGGAAUUACUGGGCGUAAAGGGCGCGUAGGCGGCCUGCUAAGUCACACGUGAAAUCCCCCGGCUCAACCGGGGAACUGCGUGUGAUACUGGCGGGCUUGAAUUCGGGAGAGGGAUGUGGAAUUCCAGGUGUAGCGGUGAAAUGCGUAGAUAUCUGGAGGAACACCGGUGGCGAAGGCGGCAUCCUGGACCGAGAUUGACGCUGAGGCGCGAAAGCUAGGGUAGCAAA
rnacentral:rRNA from 1 species